AUUGAACGCUGGCGGCAGGCCUAACACAUGCAAGUCGAACGAGUGGCGGACGGGUGAGUAAUGUCUGGGAAACUGCCUGAUGGAGGGGGAUAACUACUGGAAACGGUAGCUAAUACCGCAUACCAUCAGAUGUGCCCAGAUGGGAUUAGCUAGUUGGUGGGGUAACGGCUCACCAAGGCGACGAUCCCUAGCUGGUCUGAGAGGAUGACCAGCCACACUGGAACGGAGACACGGUCCAGACGCCCACGUGAGGCAGCAGUGGUGAAGAUUGCACAAUGGGCGCAAGUCUGAUGCAGCCAUGCCGCGUGUAUGAAGAAGGCCUGCUGGUUGUAAAGUACUUUCAGCUGGGAUGCGUUACCCGCAGAAGAAGCACCUGCUAACUCCGUGCCAGCAGCCGCGGUAAUUC
rnacentral:rRNA from 1 species